CCCUUAGAUGUUCUGGGCCGCACGCGCGCUACACUGUCGGAUUCAGCGAGUCUUAACCUUAACCGAAAGGUUUGGGUAAUCUUUUGAAAGUCCGACGUGAUGGGGAUUGAUCAUUGCAAUUAUUGAUCAUGAACGAGGAAUUCCUAGUAAGCGCGAGUCAUCAGCUCGCGUUGAUUACGUCCCUGCCCUUUGUACACACCGCCCGUCGCUCCUACCGAUUGAGUGGUCCGGUGAGGCUUUGGGAUCUGAGCGGAAAGAGCGUUUCGCUGUUUCUGCUCGGAAAACUCAGUCGAACCUUAUCAUUUAGAGGAAGGAGAAGUCGUAACA
rnacentral:rRNA from 1 species